rnacentral:rRNA from 1 species
UCUUGACAAACAUGCGUGCCAGCAGUCGCGGCAAGACGCUAAAGACUAGUGUUAUUCAUUUUUAAUAGGUUUUAAGGGUACCUAGACGGUAAAUUAAGCCUUAAUUGGAACUAAUUUAACUAGAGUUACAUGUAAGGGUGCUGUAACGUACUAUUGAGUGUAGAGAUGAAAUUCUGUCAUACCAGAUGAUUGGCACGGGUUUAGGCGAAAGCAUCACCUUAUGUAAUAACUGACGUUGAGGGACGAAGGCUUUUAAUGUAAAAAGGAUUAGAUACCCUCGUAGUCAAAGCAGAAAAUGAUGAAUGUCAUAGAUUAGAUAUUAUUUAUUCUAUAAAUGAAAGUGUAAGCAUUCCACCUCAAGAGUAAUUUGGCAACAUUGGAAUUGAAAUCAUUAGACCGUUUCUGAAACCAGUAGUGAAGUAUGUUGUUUAAUUAGAUAGUGCACAAAGAACCUUACCACAACUUGAAUAUUUUACAAGCGUUGCACGGCUGUUUUUAGUUAAUGUCGUGAGAUUGUGGAUAGUUCCAUUAAUUAACGUAAACCCUUACUUUAUUUUAUUUUAUAUAAAGUAGUUCCCCCGUUAUAUGGGCAAGAUAAAAGGGAGUAA